rnacentral:ncRNA from 1 species
UUUGUUUUUCCAUUUACGAGUAUUAACACGUAUAUCUGACCCUAUAUUAUAUUAUUCAUUUUUUACAAUAGAUGAUGUUCGUUUUACCAUUUAAAUGAUGACACAUACCACUAUAGCAAUGUACUCGUUCCCAUGAAAAACGAAAUAUGUCCCCGAAAUGUUGUUAACUAUUAGACACAAAAAUGUUUAACUUUUUAUCGCCAAACUUAAAAAAAUUAAAAGGGAAAAAAUUGAUUAAGAGGGACAGACGGGGGCAUUCGUACUGUGCCGUUAGAGGUGAAAUUCUUGGAUCGGCGCAAGACGAACGACUGCGAAAGCAUUUGCCAAGAAUGUUUUCUUUAAUCAAGAG